ensembl:lincRNA
AUGCCCCCUGGGAUGCGUGUGAAUGAGGGGGCCCUGACUCCUCGUGCCAGUUCCUUCCCUGGCACCCUGGGGGCCCAGCCACGGAGCCCGCACAUCCACAGCAGCCCUGGGCCCCGGCAAAGGAUACAGGCCAGGCCGGCGAGGAGGCCGCAGAAGAGCUGCAGGAAGGGUGGCUCGGAGCUGAGCAAUGGUGUCAGGGCGAGCAGCAGCCACGGCAGGAGCCAGGGUGGCAGGGCCCCCCGGGGCCGUCGAGGGCGAGAACCCUGCCCCGCCAGCAUGGCCAGGUGGACGGGCAUGUACCCGCAGCCCCCGGCUGCACUGGACACCCCGAGGCCUGCCAGCAGCACGGCCAGCAGCCCGGAGGCCAGCGCGAGCAGGCCGGAGGCGUGCAGGAACCGCAGCGUGCCCAGGUGGCGCUCCUGCUGCCAGCCCGAUGUGGGCAGGAGCAGCAGGCUGAGCAGCAGGCUGGGGAGGGCCGUGUGGCCCAGAGCAUGUGUGAGCAGCCGGUGUGCUGGGGGAGAGAAGGGGCUUAUGUGCCAGGUUAGGGGCUGUGUCCCCCGAGUCUGGCCCAGGACGGCGGAAGAGCCCACCCACUCACCUCGGGGGGAAAAAAGGCCCAGCCAGACCCACAAACACUCCCCGCUGUCUGACGCGCAACGGGCGGGGCACCUUACCUGGUUGGUUUCCGCGAUGCGCUGCCGCAGCGCCUUCACAUAGUCGAAGCUGUCCGGGCUGCAGAUAUCGUAGACAAGCACGAAGGCGUCCGUGUCCUGCAAGCUCCAGUCUUUAGAGUCCGGCCACUCCUGGGGGGCGGGAGGCCAGAGUUUGCCGAAGCCCUCUUGCUCUCUCGCAUCCAGAACUUCUGCAAUGAGCCUUGACGUGAAACCCACACAGUUCACGCUCAGGCCUCGGCCCUUCUCCUCCUAGUCUGUGGCCCUCUCCCGCAAGCUCCCCGGGCCUUACUGUUCUUACGACCGCUGGGGUAUACCUUUUAAAACCGUGCCUGAAGCCAGCCAGCGUCCAGCCCUUCUCUCUGGGUCUCCUCUCCCCUGAGGCCUGUCUCCUUCCUCGCCCCUUCCUCUGUUUCCCAUGGUUCCCUUCUUUCGGGCCAGGCCCCGCCCCUCCCCGGGCACCCUCAGGAGCAGUUCCCGCCUCCGAGCCUGGGCGCGUGUUCCUGAGCCUGCGGAGACCACCGAUUAACGGCAGCUCUACAUACUUAGGCUUCCGGCCGCAGCACACGCUGCUCGUUCCACUUGGAAAUGCUUCCGCCGCUUCCUCUAAUCAGAAUUUCACUCAUCCGUCCCGGUUCAGCCCAAAUGCCACCCUCACCAGGAAGCCCUCCUUAAUCUUGCUUGCUCUUUCCUCUUCACUUCUUGAAGGCAUCAACUCCCAAGGAUUCAAAGUCUGCCCUGGACUUUGCAAAAUUAUUAAACAAGUCUUGGCUGCAGGUCAUAGGAAUGAGGGAGCAGAGAAUGAUGCCCUCAGAACGGACACCCCGGUGUCUGGCUUCAACCUCUCCCACUGCGGCUCUGCUCGUGGCUUCAGACACGGAACACUCACUGUUAGGGAGGCAGGACCAUGCUCCCCCGUGCACUAAUCCCCACCCACCAGCGAAGGCAGAGAAAUAGCAAUUUAAGCAAGAGAGAAAAAGCCACUCUGCAAAGUCGCCGGGUCUUAGGCCUAAGUUGGGGCAACUGCAUGCCGGCAGAAGAGGUGAAAAGCACAAAUGCCAGGACACACAUCGAUCCUUCAGUCCAUGAACACAGUCGGGUACCCCUGGGCCGUCCACGCGGACACGCACGUGUGUACCGAGCAUCCACCCACAUGCUUCCACACGCCCCUGCCCACCCCUCAGGGCAGCACCGUCGCCAUCGCGAAUGCUCAGGUCGUAGACGGCGCCGUCGAGCAGCACCGCGGGCCGGUAGAGGCGCGGCCCGUCCCUGGGCCUGUGGCGCUCGGGGCCGUCACCGAACAGGAACUAGCGGAUGAUGGGCGGCUGCC